CCCCCCUACUGUUCUCGAUCUAUACUGCCGCCCUUGGUAAACUCAUCAGCUCCUUUGGCUUCCGAUAUCAUCAUUUAUAUGCAGAUGACACACAAAUCUACCUGUCCUAUCCUCAUCUCUCUCCGCCCAUCUUGACUUGUGUCUCUGACUACCUCUCGUGAUUUCCAGCUGGAUGGCUGCUCACUUCCUUAAACUCAACCUGUCCUAAA